rnacentral:rRNA from 1 species
GAUCCUGGCUCAGGAUGAACGCUAGCUACAGGCUUAACACAUGCAAGUCGAGGGGCAGCAUUUCAGUUUGCUUGCAAACUGGAGAUGGCGACCGGCGCACGGGUGAGUAACACGUAUCCAACCUGCCGAUAACUCGAGGAUAGCCUUUCGAAAGAAAGAUUAAUACCCGAUAGUAUAAUUAGACCGCAUGGUCUUAUUAUUAAAGAAUUUCGGUUAUCGAUAGGGAUGCGUUCCAUUAGG